UACGUAGGGUGCAAGCGUUGUCCGGAAUUAUUGGGCGUAAAGAGCUCGUAGGCGGCCUGUCGCGUCGGCUGUGAAAACCCGAGGCUCAACCUCGGGCCUGCAGUCGAUACGGGCAGGCUAGAGUUCGGUAGGGGAGACUGGAAUUCCUGGUGUAGCGGUGAAAUGCGCAGAUAUCAGGAGGAACACCGGUGGCGAAGGCGGGUCUCUGGGCAGUAACUGACGCUGAGGAGCGAAAGCGUGGGGAGCGAACAGG
rnacentral:rRNA from 1 species